AAAGGCCAUUAGAUGCAGCUGUAGUUGUAACCAUAAACGAUGACAUCUCAGGAUAUCAUUGAUAAUUUUUCUUUUCUUUGUUUUUGUACUUCGGUGCAGGAACAAAGUAUGCUAAUGUAAAUUAUGUUCAUUGAGGUUUUUAUAGUAGUAAUACUAUACCUUAUUAGACCAAUGAUGCACUGUGUGGGAAACCAACAGCUGUCUUCGUGGAGUGUAUGUUAGCAAUGAUGAAAUUUAAAAGAAUUGACGGAAGUACUACCACCAGGAUUGGAUCGUGCGGCUUAAUUUGACUCAACGCGGGAAAUUUUACCAGGUCAGGACACCGUGAGGAAAGACAGACUGCAGCUCUUUCUUGAUUCUGUGCUUGUUAAAUGUAGUGCAUAGCCUUUGGGAAGUGAGUGGAUUG
rnacentral:rRNA from 1 species